rnacentral:rRNA from 1 species
CCUACGGGAGACAGCAGUGGGGAAUAUUGGGCAAUGGGCGCAAGCCUGACCCAGCAACGCCGCGUGAAGGAAGAAGGCUUUCGGGUUGUAAACUUCUUUUCUCAGGGACGAAGCAAGUGACGGUACCUGAGGAAUAAGCCACGGCUAACUACGUGCCAGCAGCCGCGGUAAUACGUAGGUGGCAAGCGUUAUCCGGAUUUACUGGGUGUAAAGGGCGUGUAGGCGGGACUGCAAGUCAGAUGUGAAAACCACGGGCUCAACCUGUGGCCUGCAUUUGAAACUGUAGUUCUUGAGUACUGGAGAGGCAGAGGGAAUUGCUGGGGUAGCGGUGAACUGCGUAGAAAUUAGGAGGAA